rnacentral:rRNA from 1 species
GUGAGGAAUAUUGGUCAAUGGACGGAAGUCUGAACCAGCCAUGCCGCGUGCAGGAAUAAGGUCCUAUGGAUUGUAAACUGCUUUUAUUCGGGAAUAAACCUCUUUACGUGUAGGGAGCUGAAGGUACCGAAGGAAUAAGCACCGGCUAACUCCGUGCCAGCAGCCGCGGUAAUACGGAGGGUGCAAGCGUUAUCCGGACUCAUUGGGUUUAAAGGGUCCGCAGGCGGGCUAUCAAGUCAGAGGUGAAAUCCCACAGCUUAACUGUGGAACUGCCUUUGAAACUGAUGGUCUUGAAUUAAGUGGGCGUUGGCGGAAUAUGACAUGUAGCGGUGAAAUGCAUAGAUAUGUCAUGGAACACCGAAAGCGAAGGCAGCUAACGAUACUUAUAUUGACGCUCAUGGACGAAAGCGUGGGUAGCGAACAGGAUUAGAUACCCGGGUAGUCC